GGGCCCAGGCCGGAGGAGCUUUCGGUGGCGCGACCCCGCUGGCAUGCUCCCGGCCUCGGCCUCGGCCUCGGCCUUGGCCUCCGGGCCUCCAGCGCACGCGGGGCGUCCAGGGCCUCAUCUUCCCCUGGGGACCGCCCGGCCGUGUCCCGCUGCCCUCGGCGCAGGGGUGGGAGUUGCAGAGAGGAAGAGUCGCUAACCCGGAGUGUUUCUUAAAACUUGGCUGACCUGUGACCUGCGGAUUUGGAGGCUGAAUUCUCCGAGCACCUGUGCGGUGUGCACUUGCUUCUUGCAAGACAGCUUUUGUACCUAACCACAUUCAUUUUGAUUUGGUUUAAUUUUGGAUGGCACUAUGGAAAGUAGCUAAAAUAAACAGGAAGCUACUGCAGGAUAUAAUCUAAGAAAAUAUCUGGCUAGAAACAGCACAAGGCAGCACAGGACUUGAGUCUGAAUCCCUUGCUCUGUCACUUCCUAGCUAUAUAGCUGCAGGCAGAUAUGACCUUGGGACUUGCUUUAGCCAGUGGAAUGGAAGCAGAAG
rnacentral:lncRNA from 10 species